GACGAACGCUGGCGGCGUGCCUAAUACAUGCAAGUUGAGCGCUGAAGGUUGGUCCUUGUACCAACUGGAUGAGCAGCAAACGGGUGAGUAACGCGUGGGGAAUCUGCCUUUGAGCGGGGGACAACAUUUGGAAACGAAUGCUAAUACCGCAUAAAAACUUUAAACACAAGUUUUAAGUUUGAAAGAUGCAAUUGCAUCACUCAAAGAUGAUCCCGCGUUGUAUUAGCUAGUUGGUGAGGUAAAGGCUCACCAAGGCGAUGAUACAUAGCCGACCUGAGAGGGUGAUCGGCCACAUUGGGACUGAGACACGGCCCAAACUCCUACGGGAGGCAGCAGUAGGGAAUCUUCGGCAAUAGACGAAAGUCUGACCGAGCAACGCCGCGUGAGUGAAGAAGGUUGUCGGAUCGUAAAACUCUGUUGGUAGAGAAGAACGUUGGUGAGAGUGGAAAGCUCAUCAAGUGACGGUAACUACCCAGAAAGGGACGGCUAACUACGUG
rnacentral:rRNA from 1 species